GUUCGUUAUUAUAAAGAUUGCAUCGAGACACAUUGCACUUUUAUUUUUUAAAAUUAAUAUUUAUUAAAUAAUUUGUUUUGCAAAUGAGGAAAAAGGCUUUUCCUUAUUCUAGUAAACAUUUUAAUUGUUACUCAGUUUUACGCUAUAUAAACCAUGGAAGUGAUGUUCAUUGUUAUCAGUUGAAAAAUGAAACUUACAUUAUUGUUGGUACUUAUUGCUUUUUUGAGCACUUUGAUGAUGACAGGAGUCAUUGCUGAAACUUGCCGAAAGGAAGGGCAAAGCUGCAAAAAACAUAGACAAUGCUGCAGCAACAGUUGCGAUAUGAAAAGAAGUGUGUGCAAAUAACUAGCAUCAGGAGUUGAAAUUAACAUAAAAUUUUAAUUGUGUAUAGAUUGUUACACGUUCAUAUGAAUAAACUCUGCAAAAGCUAUGAAUACGUAUCAUCAAAUUCUGCUUAAAUUUGAUUUGUAAUGCCUCAAAAAAUGUUAAAAAUAAAAAUUCUUUUUCGAAUUUUUUAUUAAAUAUAAUGAUACACUAUAUGUUCUUCUGAAAAAUAAACAUAACCUGAAAUAAUUA